AACAUUUAAAAACUGAAGGAUACAUCCAAG
rnacentral:piRNA from 1 species